GGAAUCUUCCACAAUGAGCGAAAGCCUGAUGGAGCAACGCCGCGUGUGUGAUGAAGGGUUUCGGCUCGUAAAACACUGUUGUAAGAGAAGAAUGACAUUGAGAGUAACUGUUCAAUGUGUGACGGUAUCUUACCAGAAAGGAACGGCUAAAUACGUGCCAG
rnacentral:rRNA from 1 species